rnacentral:lncRNA from 1 species
UUUCUGAAUUGCAUUUACAGUGGAUAUGUUGGCUGAAAGAUCCAAUGUAUAACUCUCUUGCACGGUGAUGGGGCAAGGGCUGAAGAAUGCGAAGCUUGGCAUUGAGGGAACAGGAGAUGAGAAUUCCAAGGUGUUGGGCUCAUCAGUGCUGCCAAAAGAAAACCCACCAGAUGCAAAGCAAGGUGUUGAUGGUUCCAACCCAAAGGAAGUAAAGGAUGAUCUGCAUGUGAAUUGAGGUGACUGGGCAUCACAAAUAACACGUGGUCCAGUGCCAAAGCUGAUGUCCUGAUUCCUAGUCAUAAAAGUAGAGAAAGAGCUUCCGCCUUCAC